rnacentral:snRNA from 1 species
AUACUCUGGUUUCUCUUCAAAUCGUAUAAAUCUUUCGCCUUUUAUUAAGAUUUCCGUGGAGAGGAACAAGUAAGAGUUUAUAACUAAUUUUUUGAAGUCCUGCAGAGUAGGGCU